rnacentral:SRP_RNA from 1 species
GCCGCGGGUAGGGCCGGGAAGUUACCGGUUUCCUGUGACCGCAAACCCGGUUUAUGGCGGGGCCAGUAACCCGAGGGGCGAUAUCUAACCCCGAUCGUAGGAUCUGGUCUUACAGCAAUGAAAUCCCGUCCCGUGGGGCCGGCGGUGGCCGGGUCUCCCGCUUAGGCGGGAGUACUACGGCCUUUACCGGGGGAACCAGGCCAGGCCCGGGAGAUGGAAAGUUUGUUGCCACCCGAAGGAGCAACCUAACCCCGGACGUUCGGCGCUCGCGGGGGCGCGGGGUAGAGACUGGAGACCAGAACACCGCGAUCGGGAACGGUAUCCACCCAAGGGAGCCGCGGC